rnacentral:rRNA from 1 species
UCCAGACUCCUACGGGAGGCAGCAGUGGGGAAUAUUGCACAAUGGGGGGAACCCUGAUGCAGCGACGCCGCGUGAGUGAAGAAGUAUUUCGGUAUGUAAAGCCCUGUCAGCAGGGAAGAAAAUGACGGUACCUGAAGAAGAAGCCCCGGCUAACUACGUGCCAGCAGCCGCGGUAAUACGUAGGGGGCAAGCGUUAUCCGGAUUUACUGGGUGUAAAGGGGGCGCAGACGGCGAUGCAAGCCAGGAGUGAAAGCCCGGGGCCCAACCCCGGGACUGCUCUUGGAACUGCGUGGCUGGAGUGCAGGAGGGGCAGGCGGAAUUCCUGGUGUAGCGGUGAAAUGCGUAGAUAUCAGGAGGAACACCGGUGGCGAAGGCGGCCUGCUGGACUGCAACUGACGUUGAGGCCCGAAAGCGUGGGGAGCAAACAGGAUUAGAUACCCCCGUAU